rnacentral:rRNA from 1 species
GGGCCCGCACAAGCGGUGGAGCAUGUGGUUUAAUUCGAUGAUACGCGAGGAACCUUACCAGGGCUUAAAUGCAGAACGACAGGGGUGGAAACACCCUCUUCUUCGGACGGUCUGCAAGGUGCUGCAUGGUUGUCGUCAGCUCGUGCUGUGAAGUGUCGGGUUAAGUCCCAUAACGAGCGCAACCCCUAUUUCUAGUUGCCAGCGGUUCGGCCGGGGACUCUAGAAAAACUGCCAGCGUAAGCUGUGAGGAAGGUGGGGAUGACGUCAAAUCAUCACGGCCCUUACGUCCUGGGCUACACACGUGCUACAAUGGUAGGGACAGAGAGUUGCCAACCCGCGAGGGUGAGCUAAUCUUCAAACCCUAUCUCAGUUCGGAUCGGAGUCUGCAACUCGAGUACAUGAAGGUGGAAUCGCUAGUAA